UUGAGUUCUAAGAUCAGGAUUGAAUCCAGGAUUGAGUUCCAGCUCUGCUACUUACUAACUGGGUAACUUUGGGCCACUUACCCUCUCUAACAUUCAGUUUCUUGUCUCUGACAUAGGUAUACUAACAGUCACCACCUGUGUUGAAAGGAUUGAAUGAGAAAUUCCACGGUAGUCAUUCAGCACGGUAGUAAGACACAGUCUCACUCUGUGGCCCAGGCUAUAGUACAGUGGUGUGAUCUCGGCUUAUUACAACUCCACCUCCUGGAUUCAAGAGAUUCUCCCACUUAGCCACCUGGACAUCUGGGAUUACAGGUGUGAACCACUGGGCCUGGCUAAUUUUUCUGUAUUUUUAGUAGAGACAGGAUUUCACCAUUGGGGACUGACUGUUUUUUUUUUAAAUUGCAUUUUAGGUUUUGGGGUACAUAUGAAGAACAUGCA
rnacentral:lncRNA from 1 species